GAGAGCCUACGGGAGGCAGCAGUGGGGAAUAUUGCGCAAUGGGCGAAAGCCUGACGCAGCGACGCCGCGUGAGGGAUGAAGGUCUUCGGAUCGUAAACCUCUGUCAGCAGGGAAGAACGGUCACUGUGCUAAUCAGCAGUGAAUUGGCGGUACCUGCAAAGGAAGCACCGGCUAACUCCGUGCCAGCAGCCGCGGUAAUACGGAGGGUGCGAGCGUUAAUCGGAAUUACUGGGCGUAAAGCGCUCGUAGGCGGUAUUUCACGUCAAGGGUGAAAUCCCCGCGCCCAACG
rnacentral:rRNA from 1 species